UGGGGAAUUUUGGACAAUGGGCGAAAGCCUGAUCCAGCAAUGCCGCGUGCAGGAAGAAGGCCUUCGGGUUGUAAACUGCUUUUGUACGGAACGAAAAGGCUCUUUCUAAUAAAGGGGGCUCAUGACGGUACCGUAAGAAUAAGCACCGGCUAACUACGUGCCAGCAGCCGCGGUAAUACGUAGGGUGCGAGCGUUAAUCGGAAUUACUGGGCGUAAAGCGUGCGCAGGCGGUUCUAUAAGACAGAUGUGAAAUCCCCGGGCUCAACCUGGGAAUGGCAUUUGUGACUGUAGAGCUAGAGUACGGUAGAGGGGGAUGGAAUUCCGCGUGUAGCAGUGAAAUGCGUAGAUAUGCGGAGGAACACCGAUGGCGAAGGCAAUCCCCUGGACCUGUACUGACGCUCAUGCACGAAAGCGUGGGGAGCAAACAGGAUUAGAUACCCAUGUAGUCCCUGAGCGGGCUGGCAAGGCGCAU
rnacentral:rRNA from 1 species